GCGACACUAACAAGCCCAACAAUAACCUUUUGUUUUUAGCUGUAUAAAGCAAUGUGACCGUUGGUCUCACCAGAAAAUUCAAAGGAUAUUUUGCAAGUGAAGAGUGAUUUCGAGCUGAAGCUUUGAAUCAAUUGCUUUCCUCCAAUCUGCUAAUAUCAAACUGGUCAGGCACCAGAUUUUCACGGUCAUCACAUUGGUGACAUCCUGUAACAUUUCGUGGAUUUCUGGUUCAGAUUUUUUGUUUCAACGACGACCUUGUGACUGAUGCAGUCAGUGAAUGUCACAGGAUCAAAUCCGGGAUACCAUGUUACCAAAAUAGUCAAUAGUCAAUGCCACAUAAUAAUUUUGUGAAGUUUGUUUAGUUAAAACUAAAUAAAAUUUGGCACUCCAGUUCACCAAGAACGAGUUAACUGAAAAAUGUUACAAGAGGCUAAAAGCAAAGAUGUCUUUGUCACUCUCCUCAGUGUUGUGGAAUCAGGGCUCACUCUUCUGCUGCACUUGAAAUGAGGCCAUUUCAUUUCAAUCUCGUGGACUGAAUGAGGAGCCAACCUCCUUAUGUUUAGCAAACAUUAGGGAAACUUUCUUUCUUCCUUGUUUCUCCUUUUUUAAAGGCAAAAAUAUGUAUAUGUAAAAAUUCUCAAAUUUCCUUUCCAUAGCAAGUGUCUUUGCUCUAAAGAGAGGGCCAGUGGAGGUCUUUCAUAGCCCAGAGUGCAGCAUGCCGUUUGUGAAACACUGCUCUGUACUACAUUCAUGCUCCUCUGCUUGUCCGGAGAAUUUAAUCUAAACUCUCACUAACAUUAAUAAGGUCUAAAGUAGGAAAACUGGACAGUUUCGAUGUCUUGUUCACUACUGGCCGUUUCACGUGAAUUAUUGAUAGGUAAUACACAAUUAUUGAGUCAUCUAUUAAGGCAGUUGUAUACACAAAUAAGUUUCUCCAGGAAACACUGCUUAAACCAUUCCUCAACAAAUUGUUAAAUUUUGUCAGGUGGUGUAGGACAAAACCUGGGGGCUGGGGGCAGGAUAGCCCGGUGGCACCCCUUCUGGCAUCAGAAAGGCUGCCUAAUCCCCAUGAUUGGGCUGCCCCUCUGUUUUCACUACUGAGACUGGAAAUUAAAUCCUUGAUAGCUAUGGCAUUCAUUUAUUGAAAGAACAGGUAAUGUAGUGGAUACUGUCUUGUAUCCUUCAAGAAGGGGGGAUUAUCUCCCAGCUGCUGGGAAUGUGCUGGAAGAAGGCCCUUACCAUUGACCCUCUCUGGAGAUUGCCUCGGCAGAAGAAAACCACCUCACCCAAGGUCGCCUGCUUCCAGGGACAGCCAGCAUCCAGGGACUGAUCAGUUGGGGGUAUGAAGACCCUUGCCCCAUCUUGGGACCACUCCGAGGGGCCGUCGCAGCUUCAGAGCUCCCCACAGGGCGGACUGAGGCUUUGCUGGGAAUCCAUCACAGAUCAACUGCUCCUUCCGCCCAGUCCUGCUUCCCUCCCCUUCCUCUCCAAGAGAACUCCUUCAUAAUCGCCCCUCACACCGGCUCUGCGCAGAAGCUGCUUCCAGAAAAUCAACCUGCCAUGUAGGCAUGUGCAUAGGAUCCAGCAGACAACCAGAGCCAGAGAGGUGAUGGAACUGUGAAAUGGAAGGAGCUCUGAUCCCUGAAUGACUGCACAGACUGGCAGGCCGCCCUCCUGAUUGUGGUUCCUUCUGAGCGUGGUUACAUCACUACCUGUCAUCCCAGCAUGCGAAUACGCCUGCCACCCACUGCGGAAACUCACCAACACGAUGACCCAGAGGAGACAUGACGGGGUCCUACACCACCCGGGGGAGAAAUAAGGUUUGAAAUGCACAGAGCCAUGAACUGGCCUGUGGAAAAUCCUUCCAAACAUCAGGCGCGUAAAAUGCUGAACCAACAUGGCAGGCAUCCCUGUCAGGGUUUGUACUUGAUGAUGCAGUUAUACAACUGUAAGUGCACAUUCAAUUUGUUCUUUUUUAAUGAGAAUUUCACAAAAUAGAAAUGAUCACAAUUCCUGUAGUUGGAGGGCAACUAUCGUGGUGCUAUAAAUAGGGAGGGAGGACAUUUUUAAUAGCUCAGAUACGAAAGAGACUGGAAAGGGGUUUUUCCAAGUUUAACAACAAUCCUACGAAUUUACAUGAUAUUACCAGUAAUGGUGGAGAAGGUGAGAGAAACUCUUCUAAACUACCAAUUAUAAAACCACACUCUGAUGGAGCAUGCUAAAAGAAAUGACUGAGUUAUCUUUCUCUUCUCUCUAUAAAAAUACUACGAAAUUUUAUAAAGAGGUAUUGAAAAGUCUAACAAAGGCGGGGGGCGAGUGUCACGGAGUGGCCUCCGGCAGUUAAGAACAGUGUGUCAUUUUCCGGAUCAUGUGAUGUUUGUAGCAUUUAUCAGCUUCCCUCAAUUUGUGAUUUCUUUUUUCAUUCUAAGUUCACCUUCAUCUCAAGUUUUGUAUUUGUAAUUUUGGAUUAUUUUUCUCAAAGGAGUCCUCAAGACAGUCCCCACCAAAGCUGGAUCUGCCUGGAUACAUAAUGUUUUGCCAUCAGUGACUCACCUUCAUGUCAGGGUCCCCGAGCUAAGGACAUUGCCCUGCCGCACAGCGCCUGUCCCACUCCCCCAUUCCUCACCCAACCGGCCUCUGGGGCAGUACCCUACUUCCGCCGCCCUUCACGUCCCAGCAUCACUCCAGGGUUCCUGCUGCCUGCCUCUCCUCAGGAGCCGCUGGGCCCCAAAGACGCGAGGUUCCAGAUCCCUGGAAACUGUGGGUGUUAUCUUCUAUGGAAAAAAGGACUUUAUGUGAUUAAGUUAAGGGUCUUGAGACAGGAGAUGACCCUGGCUUACCCCAGUGGGCCAUAAAUAUUCUUCUAACAGGGAGGCAGAGGGAGAUGUGACACAGACAGAAGGGGAGGAGGCAAUAUGAGCACAGAGGCAGAAACUGGAGUGGCCACCAGAAGCUGGGAAAGGUGAGCAAACAGGUUCUCUCCCGGGGCCUCUGGCGGGAGCGGCCCUGCUGCCGCCUCAGUGUUGGCCCAGUGCAACCGAUUCUGGAUUUCUGGCUUCCCAAGUGUGAAAGCAGGAAGGUGUGUUAUUUCAAGCCACCUGGUUUAUGAUAAUUUGUUACCACAGGAAACUAACAGACCCUCCCAACUCACAGUCCAUUCUAAACCAGCCAAACUUCCUACAAUCAAAUAACUUCGGGUUCCACUUUUCUGGUCGCAAGACCCCUUUCCUAAGGCCCUCCACCCACUUCUUCUUGCCCCAUUUACCACGUUCCUUUUACCCACAGGGGACUUGAAGCCCCCCUGUGAGAGGUCAUGAGCCCCCACUCGUGCCUCGGCAGCCCAGCAGCCAUGACAUCCUUGAAGUGGUGCCUCCAGUGGAGCCCUAAUGGGUGAGGGGCAAAGUCUCUCUCCCGUUAGUGCUUUCCUCUGCCCUGACUCCAGCCCUUUCCCAGGGACUCUCUUCUAUGGAGGCUGUGUGCUUCCGCAGUCACUUACCCCACCAAUAAAACAAAAAACUGUUAAAACCUGCUCCUCUAAGUUCUUACCUUCCUAGGGAAGAAUAAUUGUAUCUUCUCCUGCCUCAUUUUCCUACCUUGUCUUUCCCCAGAAGGGAAUGUUGAUUAUUUAUUCUGGAAGCCACUGGAAGAAAAGACUCCUAGUUUUUGAGUUAAGUAAGUCUCCAAGUAUCUACUGAAUGGCUCUGUGCAGGGAGCUAGGCUGAGAGCUAAAGACAGCGAAGACACGGCCCCCCACUGCAGGGAGCUUGCAGACUUGACUGCGGUGGGAGGCGAGGCAACAAGAUACGCACAUGGAUAUUUACAAUAAAAGUCAGAGCGCGCAAAAUGCCAUAACAAAGUGUGAUGGGGCUGCAAAACAGGGAGACACCACGUGGAACCGGGGUCGGAGAAGCUCUCAUGAGUGGGGUCCACUGGAUGGGCCUGCAGGGAGGAAUGUCCCUGAACAGAGUGGGCUAAGGAAAGCCCAGGCUAUAAGGUAACGAAACUGGAAAGGAAAUUUGGGACCAAAGUUAGAGCUGAGGUCAGCAAGCAUUUUCUAUAAAGGGACAAAUAGUGUUUUAGGCUUUGCAAGCCAUGUGGUCUCUGUCACAGUGACUCAGCUCUGCCAUCGUAGCAUAAAUGCAGCCACGAACAAUAUGUAAAUGAAAGGGUAUGGCUGUGUUCCAAUAAAACUUUAUUUACUUAAACAGGCAGAGGGACAGAACACCCAGCUAAGGAAGCUCUGGGCCAGGAGAAGCCAUUGGAGAUCUGUGAGGGGGAGGAUGACAUUAUAACAUUACCAAAGCUAUGUAUUUGGAAAAGUAAUCUGGCCUAAUACUACAGUAAUACUGGGUAAUACUAGAAUUGGAGGAAGUGGAAUCGAGUGUGGAAAUAGCAGCGGGGAGGCUGUUACAGUGUUUUGGGUCAGACACUGGAAUCAGGGCAUUGAAAGCAGAAAUGAGAAGGUCCAACUUAUAGGGCAACUUAGUGGAUGCGGAGAGAAAUGGAGGGAGCCGAGUUAAAAACGGCUUCCAUGGCGCCAGGGGACUGGGACUUGGGGACCGCAGGGAGAGCUUGUGAGCAAUAUAACGAGGGGGAUUUGGGGGCAAGCGUGCCACCAAAUGGUCUCGGCACUCAGGGCGGAGUGAUUAGGCAGCGGGCGUCAGGUGGCCGAGCCUCCUUUGUCCAUGCGUGAGGCCAUGUGGGACACGGCUGACGUGUGGCUCCAGUGUAGCCCCCUGGCUCCCAGCAGAGCCCGGGCUCCGAACAAGCAGGGACCAAGAUCCCUGAGCUGCUAGACAUCUCGGAGGACGGCCAGCACAGAGCAAAACCAGCCCUGCCAGAGGCGAGCUGAGGCCGUGCCAAGUGACCACGGAAGCUGAGUGCCUGGGCCAAAUUGCUUUCUAAUUACAUUGCGCUCCAGACAAGACAAAACUGUGUCUCAUGAAAAGCAUGUAUGUGGAGUCAGGGUAAGUCUAGAGGAGGUCAGGCCUGGUGGAAACCCGGAGCAAGGAGUCAUGCUGCAGAAUUCAUUACCCUCCCGUCGGCCUGGGAAGCAAGAGCAGGGAGACAAGGCAGCUGGGAGGCCGUGUGUGAGUCAGUGAACAUUAUGGACACCUUCUGAAGAGUCGGGCACAUUCAAAUGGAGCAGGAGCUUCUGAAAGAAAAUGUGCCAUUUCACCGCGACUAUCUCAUCAUCUCUCUCUGGAACUUAAUAGAAUACCCUCCUGGAAAAAUCAUAUAAAGAUUGGUUUUUUCCUGCGUCCUAUAGCUCACGUUCUCCCUGCUGCUCUGCAUGCUGAGACAAUUUAGUUGAAAAGGAGCCACCUUAGAAUUUGCCACAUUUAUGUUUGACAAAGAGGCAGUUUACUCGCUGGUUACACACUUUCUUGCUGAGAUGCAAAUGUUAAGAUUUGGCAGAUAUUGAAAAUGCUAUUUUGAUAUUUUAUGCACUUUCUUGGGAAUUUAUUUUAGAAGCAGAGCAAUAAGAGAAAUAUUCCUGACUUAGAAAUAUAAAUAUCAUGCUACCACUUGGGGUUAUUUAUUUCCCAGGCAAUCAAUCAGGAAAUGUUAACACAUACACUCAGAGUGGUUUCAAACAUGACUCCAGCCAAGUGAGUGAUCUUUCCAUUUUCUUUUCAUAAGUAUACAAUUUUUUUAAAAGAUGAAAUAGUAAAAAAAUUAAAAGGCACUCUUGAACUCAGAUUUUAAAAGUGAAUAGAAGAUUGUCAAUUUUUUAAAGGAACUAAGUGGCCUUAAUUAUGCUCAAACAAAUGUUGAUAGUGAAACCAAAUAUUGCUCAUUAUAUUAAUACACACAAUAUUUUAAAUACAACUGGUGAUUCUAGGACUUUUUGGCAACUUUUUUAGCUUUUUCAAGACGGAGGGUCAACCAGUUGUUGCCCAUUCUCUUUAGCCUGGUCCCAGGUAGUCAGACCAAGCACGCCUUCAGUCAUUCCAAUAGUCACCUACACACCAUGUGCUCUGGCUGUACUUUCUGGCAAAAUGGUUAAGAAGCAACUGUAAGAAAAAGUUAGACAUGAGUUCUUGAUGCUUCCUUCCCACCAGUGCCCUCGAGGAGAGGAGAAGACUGGUGGGAGAGCUUGCCUGGCUAAGGCAGGUCAAGAGAGCGAGUAGUCAUGGGGAGGCAAGGACGGGGAAGUUAGUUUAGUCUUCUUGCUGCCUUCUUUCUGGUAAGAAGUUCUUCUUCCUGAAAUGCCUUAAAGAUUAGCUUGGCUUUUUGGAAGACCUGAUGGAAAAGUCCAGGAGGUUGGGUCAAGAGCAGACUGUGCUUUAACAUCAGUUCACCCAUUAGAGACCCAGGUUGGCCAUGGGCCUAUGGAUUCCUGCCUGCCCUUGAAGGUGCAUCAUGAGUAAAGGCUUGGAAACCACAGCACUGAGUCCCUGUGCCCAUAACCAGGUGAACAAGAACGGGACCUCAGACCAAGUCAGCUACUCCCAGCUCUGCUACGGGAGUCAGUGCAAUUCUGGGCGAACUGAACACAAACCCAGCUUUGUGUGCUGUUGGCCUUGGUGUCUGAGAGAAAGGCAGCUUUCCUCCCAUGAAAAGGCCUCACACACAGUCCUGCUCUGUUGAUAAGAGAAUCAUCAACUGAUAAAUCAGGCAAGCUGUGGAGUAGGUGGAGUUGUCUGCAGUUUCCCCGCAUGUCCCUUUUUGUGCACUUCCAGAUACCCUCUUCCUUUUUUAGGGACCCAAAGACCUUCUGCUCUCAACUACGCUUCUCCAUCCCCACCACCAACGGCCUAAAAGCUUAGCCUCACACAAGAAUCCGUAUGAGUCAUUGAAAUCUUAGGGGGAAAUUUUCAAUGAGAGUCUUCUUCUGUCAUAUUGGCAUAGAGUCCUUAGCUCAGAUGGUAGAAUUAAAGAUUUAGUUUCUUGUUUAAGGAUUCCAGGCAGCAAACUGGCAGAGGAGGACAUAUGAGGAACAUCUCUUCAUGCAGAUGGCAACCCAAGUUUGGCCCCACUAUAUCCACACCCUGGGCACACAUAUUUGGCAAUAUUUGGAGACACAGGAUAGAAACAGGCUGAUUCUUAGAAAAGAAAUUUGCAUGUGAAAAUCCAGUUCAUCUCUGUUAAUUUGGGUGAAUUACAUGGUUCGGACCAUAGUACAUGACCUUCAGAAAUAGAAGACAAAUGGAGAUAAUUCCAAAAUCACCCUCAACAGAGAUGAGGUCUCUAUCUCAUUGUGGAUCACAGACAUCUCCAAAUAAACUCUGCAUGCUUCCCUCCCCAGCCAGUGCUGUGGGGCCCACUUUCCCUAGCCUACUUGACACAGCUCUUGGGGCUGUAGCCUGAGAAAGGAAGUGGCCUGCUGUGAUGAGAAGUUCUCCCUGGUGACAUCCAUCCAGCUGGCCACAGUUGGGGCUCGUCUGGGGCCCACACAUGCAGGAUGUUGGAAUGUGCCAAGAUCAGCAAAGAUAAGAUCUUCGCAGAGAAUUCCUCCAUCCUGAGGAACAAGGAGGCCAGACUGAGUGACGGGUUUGAGACAAGUCCUUGCUUCUAACAUCUUUGGCCCAUGGAACCAAACUAUGCUCAGGAAGUGGCCUGGUUGAGAGACAAGAAGAGAUAAAAAGAAGAGACAAGUCAAAGUCAUAGCUGAAAAUUUUGGUUAAUUUUGCCAACCAGACUGAAGCAACCAUAUCAGCCACCUGGAAGGCCGAGGCAUCCUACAGACAAGCUCCAAGCGGCUUUGAUGCAGGAGAGUUGCCCCUGCCAGUGGGCUCCACCGUGAUCUACAAGUGACAGCUUUCAUGUGUGGCCCCACACUCUCCUGGACAUUAGCUUUGUGCUCUUCCAAUUGGUCUUGACGCCAAGCUUAGAGGCAUAAUGAAAUUAGAAAAAAGCAACCCUGAAGGGAAGAAGAAAACCAACUCGUAGUGUGGCUUUGAUAAAAUACCUGCCCUAACUGGGUACAGAGCUCUGGAUCUGGCAUUGCCACAUCUCCCCACAAUGGUCAUGCAGCUGUGAGGGAGAAAUUCCCAUCUGAGACCCAGGUGGGCUCCCCGAAAUAAGCGGUGAAGACUGAAGCUAGCAACCUGAGAGAGGUGGGCUCCACCUGGCAUCUCAGACUGUCCUCCGUUUGACUAGCUUCUAGAAACCCGUGAUCUUCUCGCCUUUGGAAGGAGAAAUAUUGGAUGGGGCUAGAAAAGCGUGAAAAGAUUUCUGCUCAUUUAGGGAACUGGGCUGUGCUUUCUGAUGUUUAUUAUUACCGAGGGCAGGAGAGAUGGCCUCCUGCGGUUGGAGGACAGCCCUGGGCCACCCAGGUCUGCUUGCUGACACUCCUCAAGCAGUUCUGUUGUCAGAGGGACCCUCCUCCGAAUGGUUUACAAGCUGAAUGGCCCGCUUUUCACUUUCACUUGCUCAGUCUCCAGAGAGGUGCCCUGGACCAUUUGUUGUGUAUUACACCCUCUGUGGGCACUGAAGAAAACCCACCUAGUCUUCAGUUAGUGCUUAGCUGUAUAAAACCAGGACCAAGAAAGUUGGAGGAGUUGAAGAUUAUACUUUAACUUUCACAACAGAUGUUUUUGCAUUUAUUUCCCCCCAGGAGGACAGUAAAUGUAAAUUGUUCAUUUGAGCAAUUCCCAUCCCUUUUGGAUGGCCCCUGUCCUCCUGCUGUGAAAUGUGCACAGCUCCUCAACUAAAUUGUAUGGGAUGGUUCUGAAGGGAGAAAAGCUAGUUUGCAUAUUUCAAAUUAGAGGACCGCCUGAAAGUGUGCGGGAAUCAGAGACUCACCAUCCGGCUCACAGCCAACCAGGCCCUUACACAGGGAGAGCCGUGAGGCUAGCCGUUCCCACACCCCAGAGGGGGAGGGGCAUCUAACGACACUUAUGAAAAAUGCAUAGAUGAUUAUAAAUGUUUUGAAAUUGUAAGUGGAGCAUCUUCGUUAUGCAGGUGUACUGGGGAUCACAAUGUCACAGCCUCCGGCACCAGCACGGGGAGGAACCCUGGUUCAGCUUUCUUCUCCUCCGCGGCUGAGCUGCUCACUCGCUUCCUCAGCAAGUUCGGUUUCCCUGGACUCCAAGGCAAGCAGAAAAUGCCGGAAAUUGAAACCGUGAAACCUCCAUGUUCCCAGAGGAGACUGGACCACCCGGAGCCUCUCCAAAACCGGGGGUAGCCAACCAGGUUACAAGUCAGGAAAACGGUCUUCGGUGAACGCGCGUUUUCUGAGGUCUUGGAACGUUUCCACUGGACUCAAGGUUUUGAUUUUGCAUCUGGACUGGAAAAAAGAUACGGUAUAAUUGUCUCCUCAGGAGAAGAGAGUGAAAAGACAAUGGCUGUGCCGAGUGCCCCCGGAAGGCUGGGACAGGCCGGCCACCCCCUCGUCCUCUUCCAGCUGCUCCCUGAGUCUCUGGGGACCCUCACACUUUGAAACCACUGCAACUGGACAGCCACGUCGCAGACAUUUGCCACUGGCCCUCCAGAAGCUCCAUCACACAGACUUUUGGUGACAAGGGUUUUCAAUUUAGCUAAUAAAGUUUCACUGUUUUUCUCAAGUGGAUAGAAAGUCCUGACUUCCUUUGUUUCUAAUGAAAGACAUAUGGACAGAGGAUGACUGGCCCCUUCCUUCUACCUUCGUGUAGGAGAGUGUGGCCUAAUGCCAUCGCAAUUUGCCUGUCACCAGUUUGCGAGGCGGUUUUAAACAGGUCCCUGAUUUCCCUGCAGCCCAAGAGGAAUAAGCACCUCGCUGAUGGGUGUCUGUGGUAUUUCACUGUUUGGUGAUAUCGAGUGGUAAUAAAAAUGCUUUAGAAGCAAAGCCCUGGGUUGUCAAAACGCCCAUCCAUCACCAUAAGCAGAUUUAUUCCAUAACACUUCAGGUCUUUAGAACUAGAUUGAAUAACGGCAAAAAGACCCUUUGAAAUAAAAGGGAGCCUGAUCCACGGGGUGAGUUAACUCCCCUCUGAGAGUAGAGGGUUUUCUACUUGGGGGGCUUUAACUCCAUGAGCACAGAAGCCCUAGGAAAGCACAGACUAGUAACACGCUUCUACGCUACCAAAAGGCAAACUAUGAGUUUGUUAUGUGGGCCACUUUGUGCCUUUCCCCGCUAAAAUAUGCAUUGAAACAAGACAUGGUCCUUGCACAGUAAUUACAAUUAAUGCCAGGCCAAUCUUUCCAAAUGAAUCAAAGCCUUUAAUUAAUAUACGGUGUUUUCAGCUCUCUGGGUUGUAAUGACAACGACUGAGGAGAAGGAGCUGGUGCUGUUGGAGCAGUACUCUAUGCCAGAGUUAGCGCACUGAGUCUGUACAAACCGAUGGCCGGCAGCUCGGUUCCUCCAUUUUAGAGAAGAAGAAAGGAGUUGCAAAGAGAUUAAACAACUUGUCAAAGUCACACUGCUUGGAGGUGACAGAACUGGAAUAUGAACCUGGGCAGCAUCACUUCAGGCUACAGUCUGAACCACGUGCCACCCUGUCUCCAGGCUUCCUCUGCCAGUCUGACGGAGGAGCCCUGCUGGGCUUAGAUGCUGGUUCACUGGCCGUUCGUUGACCUGGAAUCCAGUAGUCACUCAGGAAAUACUCAUUCUCUCUCCCAUCCUUUUCGUUCAGUCCUGUCUUACAGCCAUGACGGAGAACGUAUUUUGAAGAAAGACUCUUCUCAGGGUCAGGAAAGAGUUACAAAAUAACCUAUUUGAGAAGACCUUUCCCUCUAAGUUGCAUGAGGAUUUUUAACAGGAUAGAGUCUUGUCAGU